UACGUAGGGUGCAAGCGUUAAUCGGAAUUACUGGGCGUAAAGCGUGCGCAGGCGGUUUGGUAAGACAGAUGUGAAAUCCCCGGGCUUAACCUGGGAAUUGCAUUUGUGACUGCCCGGCUAGAGUGUGUCAGAGGGGGGUAGAAUUCCACGUGUAGCAGUGAAAUGCGUAGAUAUGUGGAGGAAUACCGAUGGCGAAGGCAGCCCCCUGGGAUAACACUGACGCUCAUGCACGAAAGCGUGGGGAGCAAACAG
rnacentral:rRNA from 1 species